rnacentral:lncRNA from 1 species
AUUAACACUUAGGAAAAAAAUCAAAUUUAUAUUGACAUAAUCAUAAUUAGAGCGGCAAAACUUUUGUAAUUUCAGAUAAAAGAUUAGUCUUAAAUUUUGGUAACUAGUGGGCAUAUUAUUAGUUCAAUAUGGAAAGUGGGUAUAUUCUUUUCAUGUCAACGGUAAAGAAGUACAGACAAUUUUCAUUAUUGAGGGUAAAAGGUGAAGAAUCUAUCUCCCAUAAAUAAAUAAAAAAGGAAAGAAUAUGACCGUUGAGAGGAAGUGAUACCAUUGGCUUUGCCUCACCAAUCCCCCAAUCCCACAGCCAAAGCUGCC